CUUCUCUGCAGACACCAGCCUGGUGUCCUCCUUCAUCCCAGGCUGCCAGGCUAGGCAGGGGACAGCGGCUGCCCUGGUCCUCACAGCCCUGGCUACGGGGCUGGUGACAGCCAGAUCCUCAUGCUUCUGCGACCUGAGCGCUGCCUUCAGACACCUCUCUGCUGGCGUGUUCCUGGGUCCAUGAUGGAAGAAGGAAAAGUAUUUUUAAAAGACAAUCUGAAGCUCAUACUGUGACUGCAACAUAAAAUGUGUUCACCUGAGGAGACUGCUUUCAUCGCCAGUGUGUCACAGCUGACUUCUCUGAGCUGGAUGGCACCCUGGACAUCAACCAGCCCUUCACCUUCACGUCACACAGGAGGGACACUGGUCCAUAGAGAGGAUGCCUGCUCUGGUCACCAGCUGGAGAGUGGCAGACCUUGGGUACCUGACCUUUGGACUCUGCCACACAGAGCACUUCCUCAGUCCCUCCUGCUGCCCCUGGCAGGGUGGAGCUGGCAGGGCAGCUGAUCCAGGACCGUCCACUUCCAAGCCAGCAGGAGGAUGGAAAAGCAGAAUGGAGGGGAAACAACCUCCUUUGCAGGGCGUGACUCGGAAGUUGGACACAUCAUUUCCAGCCACAUUCCAUGGACCAGAAUUAGCCCUGUGACCAACUCUGGCUGCCAGAAAAUCUGGGAAAUACAGUCUCUGCUUGGGCGAUCAGGCAGGCAGUUAUAUCUUUGGGAACAUCUCUCACCCCCUGGGAACACCUGAGCAGAAACUGAAGGACAUUUAACAGAUUCUCCUUUGUGUCUAAUAAGAAUUGCCCCCAUCAGUCGGGGCUGUCCUAGGUGCUGGGUACAUAGGUCAUCUAUACACAACCCAGCAAUGGAGAGCACACCAUUCCCAGGCUGCAGAUGCAGAAACUGUGGCUCGGAGAGUUAAGCGUCUUGUUCAGAUUCAGUCAGCUGGUAGAUGGCAGGUCUGGGAUUGAGACCCAGGCCUGGCUGGUCCUGCCAGGACACAGUAUCACAGCUUUGACUGGGAGCUUCUUUUUGUUUACAUAUAUUUUUUAUGCUCAAUGUGCAUUCCUUUUGAAAUACACAGAAAAGGGAAAGAA
rnacentral:lncRNA from 1 species